rnacentral:lncRNA from 1 species
GUCAGAGACCCACCAUCUUCUAAUCACCCCAAACAUAUCAUAUAGGCAGUUUACGACAAACAUUUGACUUGACUUUCUGAUGACACCUGCCACUGCUGUCGGGGGUGUUUACAAUGCAUACAGUAAAUUGUUUGACUGUAUCCAUAAUUAUUUCCACGAUCAAGACUCCAUUUUUUUAAAAAAGGUUUAUAAGGAAAGCCACUUGUAACAAGGUAAGGAGGACAUGGCAGGGCAAUGGAGAAAGCAAGAGUGAAGAUGGUAUUAGGUCUUCUUUUUAAAUUUUUUGAUUGCGCCCACGACACAGAAGUUCUAGGGCCAGGGACUGAACCCAAGCGACAGCAGUGACAAUGCUCCACAGCAGUGACAACGUUGAAUCCUUAACCGUUAGGCCACCAAAGACUCCCAGUAUCAUGCAUGUUUGUACAGAAGACUUUUUAACUGCAAAAACACAUGUUCCCUAAAGAAAAUUUUGAUUGCAAAGUAGAAUGAAAAAAAAAAUCUGUUAUUUCAUCAACCAAAGCAGUGUUCAGCCAUUCCCUCACUUCCCAAACUUUUAAAGUCAUACACACUAUCAAACUUGACGACUUACAUUAAGCUUUUGAAGAUUCUUUAGUUCUAAACAUCUUUAAUUGGUAACAACCACUUUUUCUUUUUUAAACCAACAACGUAGAAACCAGAAAUGAAAAAGAUGCUAAAAGCAUUUAAGUUUGAGGUAUAGCAAUUAUAUUUUGGAAAUUAAAUAGGGAUGCAUGGAAGCUGGAGGAGUGUCCUUACAGAUCCAUUAGCAUUCUAGCCAAAGAAAUGUUUGAUCCUGCCCACAGCAAGGCUCCAGUGCUGUGGCUGGAAGCUUUGAUCUUGAGUCCCACUCCAGCAUAUGGUGCUACUAAGCAUAAUCAAAGUGCAAAUCUUUAUAGAAAUUACAGAGGCUGAAAGGGGGAUGGAUGCUUCCUUCCUCUAAUUUCCUUUCCUGCCAUGUUCUUGGUCUUAAGUAGAAAAACAUUUGGUCUUUUGAUGAAAGCUGCAGAUAGUUGGGGAGCAUUUUUACACUGUAUACAGUCAAUUAUUUGACUGUCCGAAAUGAUUUCCAUUACUGAGACUGGCAAUGUUUCUUGCCAGCUUAGAGCCACGGUUUUCAUACCCAUUUACCAAUGGGUAUGAAAUUGCCUCCCUUAUUUUGGCCCUACACAGUGACAUUAGAAUAAGGGGACCCUGACAGUUCUGGCUUUUGGGGGGGUGGGAUAGAGGGGAAGGUACAUGACACAUGCACAUUCAGAUUUUGACAAUAAAUCAUUGAAAAUUUUCAGGAUGAGCUGUGAAUUCUUGCAGUUGAUCCUCUUCCAAAGGGGUGCCCCCCUUACAAAUUUUGGUAAGCCAUGAAUUAUAACUCAGAUCAAGGUGUUAGAAACACAUAUUUUUUAAAUUAAAUUCCCUUCACGUAGAUCUGUCAGCCCACUGAAGAGAGUGGGAGACAACCUCUGGAUUAUAAAUUGCAAGCAAAACUCGUGUUUUGGCAAAGUAAAUUAUCCUGACCCUCUCACCCACACUGCGUUGCUCCAUUUGAGAAACUGCCAUGCCCCUUGGCCCAGACAGACAGGCCUCAGGCAAGCUUGCAAUUUGCAAGGAGCUGGACCAAGGAAGACUCUGUGUGCCGUUUCUCAUGGUUACUGCUUAUUGUGCCCAAGCCUUAUGCACAUUAUUUUUAAUCAUGCAGUUAUUAAAAAGAGAGAGAGAGAUGUCUAAAGCAUCAUUCAGGAAGUUUAGUCAAGUGCAGGCCAGUCUACUUCCAGCUGGUGGGCGCCUGCUCGGCUUCUGUCUGUCCUCACUGGGCAGCUCCAAGCCUGGCUGGCUGGUACUCUUACUGCACCGGUUGCUAAAUAUUUUGACUAUCAUCCCGAACUGGCCUCAUUAGUUGUACAUAGAGGCAUGUAUCAACAGGGAGCCUAGUGAGGUCCAACUAU